AAAGUCUGAAACCCGAAAUUGAAGAAGUUUAGCUGCAAAUUUGAGCUUGAGAUUGAGAUUGGGAAGCCGAAGCAAGCACAAUUCAGGUCCAUAGAAGAAGAGAUCAUGAGACUCUUAAUUCAUCUAAUUCCAUUCCUCUCCCUGUUUCCCGCCUUAUUCUCUUCUCUCUUGGCUCUCUCCCAAACGACAUGCUCACCUCACCACACCAACGACAACGACGACAAUUCCUCCCUUUGCCAACUCCACCUUAUUAUCUUCUCUCUUCGCAUUGACGGCAUGACGCAGAAGAAAAAAAUCCAAAAUUUGCUGACUUGGUGUCUGUCUUCAGUGGAAGGAAAUGAUGAAUCUAUCCUAUCAUGGAGUUUCUAUGGUCUUGCCAAUAACAAGCUGCGGUGGCAUGGGGAGCUGGAAAGCCUUUGGUGAUAGAGGAAGUGAAUGUGAAUCCGCCUCAGGCAUUGGAGAUAAGGAUCAAAGUCGCCUGCACCUCUCUCUGUCGCAGUGACAUCACUGCCUGGGAGUCUCAGGUUGCACAGGGUGCUAAGCUUAGGGGAGCAUCUCAAAUAAUUGGUGUUCACACUAAUUUGUAUCUGGCGUUUCUUUGAAGGG